GACGAACGCUGGCGGCGUGCUUAACACAUGCAAGUCGAACGGAAAGGCCCUGCUUUUGUGGGGUGCUCGAGUGGCGAACGGGUGAGUAACACGUGAGUAACCUGCCCUUGACUUUGGGAUAACUUCAGGAAACUGGGGCUAAUACCGGAUAGGAGCUCCUGCUGCAUGGUGGGGGUUGGAAAGAUUCGGCGGUUGGGGCUGGACUCGCGGCUUAUCAGCUUGUUGGUGGGGUAGUGGCUUACCAAGGCUUUGACGGGUAGCCGGCCUGAGAGGGUGACCGGCCACAUUGGGACUGCGAUACGGCCCAGACUCCUACGGGACGCAGCAGUGGGGAAUCUUGCACAAUGGGCGGAAGCCUGAUGCAGCAACGCCGCGUGCGGGAUGACGGCCUUCGGGUUGUAAACCGCUUUCGCCUGUGACGAAGCGUGAGUGACGGUAAUGGGUAAAGAAGCACCGGCUAACUACGUG
rnacentral:rRNA from 1 species